rnacentral:misc_RNA from 1 species
UAUUUUAUAUAUCUUAUUUAUAUUAGACAAAAUAUGCUCUGGAUAGGUCCUGAAACUAGGGAUAUUAGGAUAUUUAUUUUGUAAUUUGUUGUACACAUGGCUACGAAGUGUUUGGAUUAUGAUUACUGUCUUCAGAACUGCAAGGAGAGUACCAAGUAAGUCAGCGGAGAGGCAGCGAAGUGGAAGAGAGGCAGUAAAUGGGUCAGUGGAGGAGAGGGAGAGUGGAGGUAACCAAGUUGAUGAGAGUGGAGAGAGGUUGGCAAGUGAAAGGGAACUGGUGGAGCUUGGUCAACGCAAGCAGCAGCGAAUUUAUCAUCUCCCCGAGUCUUUCCAGCAGAUACAGGCAUGUUAACUACCUGUGGAAACAAGAGGAAUGGGGAAAAAAUAAAAGAUGGAAACAAUGAUUGUUUUGGCUGUACAACAAGUCUAAAUGAAGUGGACAGAAAUAUUGUUGGACUCACCUUGCAGGGCCACAAGUUCUUAAAGAAUAAAUCCAAGGGCUCAAUAUGUGCCAACAUCCAUAAGAUGAAUCAGUUUGGCUUGGCAGGUGGAUUUGAAGAGUCCACAAGCCUACUGUGUGUAAUAUAGUUACAGUCCAUGGUGUAGGCUGUAAUUUGUGACCCACAUAAGCUUGCAGUGUGUGGUAUACACACAGCACUGCUGCCUGUUACUAAUUCGGAAAUUUUAGCCAAAAUGAGGCGGACGCAAUGUAAACCGAUUAAAAUCAAAAGAAUCUAGCAAAAUGUUUGCAUUUUAUUAUACUUCGGAAACUUUGUGUAAAUAUUUGAUUUGGUUUAACAAAAGACGAUAUUUAUAAAUAUGGUAUUUUGCGCCAGUGAUUUAGCGCUCUUGGGGCAGCAAUGUAAUGAGUAUUUGAUAAAAUACCAGCUUAUCCUUAACCCCGACUAUUCGACCAUUGAUUAUUUAGAUUGGUUUAUGAAGAUUAAGCCACCCAAGAGAUAGCACGGGCAUAAAUAGCCCGUAAGUGGUAGAUGUUUUGUUUAGAAAAAUGUAUACUGUGUGUUGAGGUCGCAUUUAAUCGUAAAGCUGCUAUUGCGGGGAGGAUACUGCCUGACUGUAGUUUUGAGGGUGUCCAGCUGCUGGACACCUUUUUUGAUCAGAAGAGUGGCAGUGUUGAUGGCUUCAGGCUGGUUACUGCAAGAUUCAGGAACUACUGCAAAGUUCUUCUAAGGUCGUUGGUUGCUUCACAUUUCAGGAGAUAGUAAGUAGUGGAUUUUCUGUGAUUGUUUGGCAGAAGAUGCAUUCUCACUGUCGGGAUUCACCAAUCUCCCAAUUGCAUCUGUAACCUACGGAUUAUUCAAUGUUGUUGUUGUUAUAGAUUCAGCUACUCGAAACAAGUUCCAAGCAGCACGGGCUACGGUGAGCCCGUAACUUACCUGGCACAGGAGCGGUGCUGUGUGUUGGGAUUAUUCAGAUUGAUUGAUGAAGAUUAAACCACCCAAGAGGUGGCACGGGCAUGAAUAGCCCGUAAGGGAUUAUUCAAUUGAUUGAUUGCUUAUAUAAUCGGUCCACACCUCACCAUCCUCUAGCAGUUGCAAUUUAGCUGAAUUUACCUGCAAGGGCCACUAACACACUAGUGGCCUUGACGAGGACAGGAAGCCGGCGGCUUGUCAAAAGUCCCCAAAGGUGUUUGUAGUCAUAAUGGCCAACCAAGCAGAAGAGAAUGAUGUUCUCCAGAGUCUCCUCGACACAUUCAACACUGGUCAUGUUGUGCUGUCAAUGGAUGAGGUGUCAGAGAGUGCGGUUGGUGUUAUGAACAAGGAACCUAAUGGCAGGUGUGUUCUCUGUCCUGUGUGA